AUUGAACGCUGGCGGCAGGCCUAACACAUGCAAGUCGAACGAGUGGCGGACGGGUGAGUAAUGUCUGGGAAACUGCCUGAUGGAGGGGGAUAACUACUGGAAACGGUAGCUAAUACCGCAUACCAUCGGAUGUGCCCCGCUGGGAUUAGCUAGUAGGUGGGGUAACGGCUCACCUCGGCGACGAUCCCUAGCUGUUCUGAGAGGAUGACCAGCCACACUGGAACUGAGACACGGUCCAGACUCCUACGGGAGGCAGCAGUGGGGAAGAUUGCACAAUGGGAGCAAGCCUGAUGAAGCCAUGCCGAGUGUAUGAAGAAGGCCUUCGGGUUGUAAAGUACUUUCAGCGGGGAGGCGUUACCCGCAGAAGAAGCACCGGCUAACUCCGUGCCAGCCGCCGCGGUAAUUC
rnacentral:rRNA from 1 species